rnacentral:rRNA from 2 species
GACCGCCUGGGGAGUACGGCCGCAAGGUUAAAACUCAAAUGAAUUGACGGGGGCCCGCACAAGCGGUGGAGCAUGUGGUUUAAUUCGAUGCAACGCGAAGAACCUUACCUGGUCUUGACAUCCACAGAACUUUCCAGAGAUGGAUUGGUGCCUUCGGGAACUGUGAGACAGGUGCUGCAUGGCUGUCGUCAGCUCGUGUUGUGAAAUGUUGGGUUAAGUCCCGCAACGAGCGCAACCCUUAUCCUUUGUUGCCAGCGGUCCGGCCGGGAACUCAAAGGAGACUGCCAGUGAUAAACUGGAGGAAGGUGGGGAUGACGUCAAGUCAUCAUGGCCCUUACGACCAGGGCUACACACGUGCUACAAUGGCAUAUACAAAGAGAAGCGACCUCGCGAGAGCAAGCGGACCUCAUAAAGUAUGUCGUAGUCCGGAUUGGAGUCUGCAACUCGACUCCAUGAAGUCGGAAUCGCUAGUAAUCGUAGAUCAGAAUGCUACGGUGAAUACGUUCCCGGGCCUUGUACACACCGCCCGUCACACCAUGGGAGUGGGUUGCAAAAGAAGUAGGUAGCUUAACCUUCGGGAGGGCGCUUACCACUUUGUGAUUCAUGACUGGGGUGAAGUCGUAACAAGGUAACCGUAGGGGAACCUGCGGUUG